CCGCCCUCUUCCCCUUCCUCGCCUUCCCCUCCACUUCUGGUGGACGUGUCGCUUUGCAAUCCUAGAACUCGUACUUGUUUACAUUCUGACCGUUUAGCUCUUUUGACCGGUUGCUUUUGCCAAUUUCUCUUGGGCAGGGCGUUGCAGGAGAGACUGAGGAGGCGCAGGAGGGCGUUCGCGUCCAGGGAUGUCGGAAAUGACGAACCCAAAGAGAGCGUCGUGCAGUACGACAACGAAGCCUUCACGGACGAUGAGAAAAGCGAGGAUUUUCCGGCCGCCUCCCCAUCGGUGUCCCCGUCAUCGGCGAGACAGUCGCCCCGUCGUCUGCCACCGCUUCGGGAACGGGUCGCCGAAGCUUCAGAUGCAGAUCUCAGCUCCGGGAGCCAGACUCCAAGUUCCGUGGCCAGCUCUAGGGUCAGUGCUGCGGACAGAGACCGCAGGCGCCGAAGGCCAUCCGAGGUUGGU
rnacentral:lncRNA from 1 species